UUCCCUGUUGCUCAGAUGGUAAAGAAUCUGCCUGCAAUGCAGGAGACCCAGGUUCAAUCCCUGGGUUGGAAG
rnacentral:tRNA from 1 species